rnacentral:tRNA from 1 species
UCUCUGGAGGACUAGUGGUUAGGCCACAGCGCUCUCACCACUGUGGCCCGCGUUUGAUUCCCGGCCAGGGAA